GCAGUGAUGACUCAGUGGUAGAAUUCUCGCCUGCCAUCCAAGAGACCCAGGUUUGAUCCCUGGUCAGUGCA
rnacentral:tRNA from 1 species